CCUACGGGUGGCAGCAGUGGGGGAUAUUGCACAAUGGGGGAAACCCUGAUGCAGCGACGCCGCGUGUGGGAAGACGGUCCUCUGGAUUGUAAACCACUUUCCCCAGGGACUAAGAUGACGGUACUUGGGGAGGAAGCUCCGACAAACUACGUGCCAGCACCCGCGGUAAUACGUAGGGAGCGAGCGUUGUCCGGAAUUACUGGGUGAAAGGGGCGCGUAGGCGGGACUGCAAGUUGGGUGUCAAAUCUUCCGGCUCAACCGGUAGCCGCACUUAAAACUGCAGGUCUUGGGGGAAGUAGAGGCAGGCGGAAGUCCUAGUGUAGCGGUGAAAUGCGUAGAUAUUAGGAGGAACACCAGUGGCGAAGGCGGCCUGCUGGGCUUUUACUGACGCUGAGGCUCGAAAGUGUGGGGAGCAAACAGGAUUAGAUACCCGAGUAGUC
rnacentral:rRNA from 1 species